GCCGGGAUGGCGAAACUGGUAGACGCACCAGACUCAAAAUCUGGCGGGGGCAACUCCGUGUCGGUUCGACUCCGACUCUCGGCACCA
rnacentral:tRNA from 1 species